UACACAUGCAAGUCGAGGGCACCAGCAAUGGUGACCGGCGAACGGGUGCGUAACACGUGAGCGACCUUCCGAUCUGUGGGGGAUAGCCGGCCCAACGGCCGGGUAACACCGCAUACGCCGAGCGAGCUGCAUGGCUUGCUCGGGAAACCUCCGGGGCAGAUUGAGGGGCUCGCGGCCUAUCAGCUAGUUGGCGGGGUAAUGGCCCACCAAGGCGACGACGGGUAGCUGGUCUGAGAGGAUGGCCAGCCACAUUGGGACUGAGAGACGGCCCAGACUCCUACGGGAGGCAGCAGUGGGGAAUCUUGCGCAAUGGCCGCAAGGCUGACGCAGCGACGCCGCGUGUGGGAUGAAGCCCUUCGGGGUGUAAACCACUGUUGCCCGGGACGAACGGCGGGAUUUAUCCCGCGUGACGGUACCGGGUGAGGAAGCACCGGCUAACUCCGUGCCAGCAGCCGCGGUAAUACGGAGGGUGCGAGCGUUGUCCGGAAUCACUGGGCGUAAAGGGCGCG
rnacentral:rRNA from 1 species